UCAAAUACAAUGGGAUAGCCUUCCUAUUUAUAGGCUAUUUGUGGACGUAACUUGUAAGCUAAAUUACAAGAAAAGAAAACCAAAAAUUAAAUCUAAAUGCUAAGCCAUGUGCCAAUCCAUGACCGGCCACACUAACCUAGUUUCUAGAAUGUUUCCUUCACAAAGUGCUUUCUACACUAUCCUAUCUACUAAGUACCCCUAAUGGGCCUUUAUGCAACAAAGCCUUCUUUUCCUAAAACCGUAGCUUGGCUCAUGUGUGUGUGAAGCUAGACGGUCUAGGACUCUUCAUAGAUGCUCCUUAUGUAGCCAUGGCUAGACGCUCCCUUGUGAAGCUAGACGCUCCAUUUGGAAGACUAGACGCUCCUUUGGGAGGCUAGACGCUCCUUUGUGAAGCUAGUCUUAGUCUUUUGGCUUUCAUAGUGUGGUGAGCUUGGGCCCUCUUCCAUCA
rnacentral:lncRNA from 1 species